CCCCGCAUUCGACGGGCGAAUCUGGGCGCGUGUCGACCCGCGCGCGUUCUGGUUAUUUUGCAAAUAUACCCUCCAGUUUUUUAUAAAUCGCAACUCAGUGCAACACAUUCAAAAUGAUCAGAAAUCAUGUUCUAAUAUUGUUCAUAUAGGUCCUCCUUGAAAAUUUUAAUAUUACAAACAUCCCCAAAAUGCACCUUUGCGAAAAUGCCCUCCCGCAGCUCCGAACGGCUGAACCUCCUCGCUCUCCUCCCGGCUCCCCUCUCCUGCUCCCCACCUCCGCCCUCUCUCUCUCUCUCCCUCUCUGCUCUCUGCGUCCACGCCGCCGCCUUUCCUCCCCUUCUCCCUCUCCACCUGCCUCCGUCGUCCCUCCCCGCCGCCGCUCCUCCUGUUCACCGCCGCCGACCGCUCCUGGAAGAUCCGGAUCUGGCGGUGGGGUGUGGCUUGGAGGAAGGGGGGAUCCAGAUCCGGCAGUGCUGGCCGGCCGAUGCUGGUGCUUGGGCGAGCAGGACAGCCCCGCUCUCACCGCGGGCACCGUCCCAACCCGCCCCCCUCACUGUGGCGCUCCUUCCCUCCGGGAUCCGGCAAGGGCGAGGCUUGCAGCACCGGCGGCGCCGGCCGGGCUGCCUCGUGGAGCGGCGGCUCCUCCCCUCCGGGGUCCGGCGAGAGCCGCGGCUGGGCGUGCAGCGGGGGCCGUGGCUGCAGGGCCGGCGUGGCACCCCUACCUUGUCUUCCGGUGCAGGAAGGAUGGACACGCUGCUAUGCUGAAGAAGGAAGAACUGCUCGUGCCAAUCAGCUUAGCCAUAUCCUUGCGUGAAUUAAGAAGCAGGCAGAUAUGCUCUUAUUAUUAUAAAUGUUUUCUAUAAGUUAUUUUUUUCCUCUACGACCAGGCCACAGAAGAGCAAGGAAGAGGUUGGCCUCCCAUGCACAAGCUCUUUUUCUUAUCAGCAUCAGAUAGGUUAUUGUCAGAACCUAAGUCUGAAUAAAAAAUUGUUUAGUAGUCCUUAUUUCGGUACUAAAUAGUCAUGCUUCUGAUGAUUUCCUUUUAUAAUGGAAGGAAGGAUGCUUAGUCACAAGAAUGGAGAAUUGGAGCUGAGAUUCAUGCUGACUCAAUAAAUUUUUAUGGAUUAUUCAGCUACACCAUACUGUGGCGUUACUGUUGUGGUUUAUGUAUUGUUCAAGGCAUAGUUUUUUCCUGAAAUGAGUCGAAGGCAUAGUUAAGAUAACCUGUAAUUGCUUGUGCAUGAACUUAUGCUGCUUAUAGUAAAAUUAUCGACCUUGUAUUAGUAAGUGAUUUAUGGUAUCAGUUACAUAAUGACUUUUCAUGUAUAAGCUCCUAUCUUUGUUAAAAUACAAAUCCAUUCAUAU